AACGAACGCUGGCGGCAUGCCUAACACAUGCAAGUCGAACGAGACCUUCGGGUCUAGUGGCGCACGGGUGCGUAACGCGUGGGAACCUGCCCUUAGGUUCGGAAUAACUCCCCGAAAGGGGUGCUAAUACCAGAUAAUGUCCUCGGACCAAAGAUUUAUCGCCUUUGGAUGGGCCCGCGUUGGAUUAGCUAGUUGGUAGGGUAAAAGCCUACCAAGGCGACGAUCCAUAGCUGGUCUGAGAGGAUGAUCAGCCACACUGGGACUGAGACACGGCCCAGACUCCUACGGGAGGCAGCAGUGGGGAAUAUUGGACAAUGGGCGAAAGCCUGAUCCAGCAAUGCCGCGUGAGUGAUGAAGGCCUUAGGGUUGUAAAGCUCUUUUACCCGGGAUGAUAAUGACAGUACCGGGAGAAUAAGCUCCGGCUAACUCCGUG
rnacentral:rRNA from 1 species